UACAGAGGGUGCAAGCGUUAAUCGGAAUUACUGGGCGUAAAGCGUGCGCAGUCGGUUAUUUAAGUCGGAUGUGAAAUCCCCGGGCUCAACCUGGGAAUUGCAUUCGAUACUGGAUAGCUAGAGUUCGGCAGAGGGAAGUGGAAUUUCAGGUGUAGCGGUGAAAUGCGUAGAUAUCGGAAGGAACAUCAGUGGCGAAAGCGGCUUCCUGGACCAGAACUGACGAUCAGGCUCGAAAGCGUGGGGAGCAAACAGG
rnacentral:rRNA from 1 species